rnacentral:ncRNA from 12 species
GGCUUCAACAUCCCUGCGGGUGGGACCUUCCAGGUAUGUGCAUCCGCUGGAGCC